rnacentral:rRNA from 1 species
AUUGAACGCUGGCGGCAUGCUUUACACAUGCAAGUCGGACGGCAGCACAGAGAAGCUUGCUUCUUGGGUGGCGAGUGGCGCACGGGUGAGUAAUAUAUCGGAACGUACCGAGUAAUGGGGGAUAACUAAUCGAAAGAUUAGCUAAUACCGCAUAUUCUCUGAGGAGGAAAGCAGGGGACCUUCGGGCCUUGCGUUAUUCGAGCGGCCGAUAUCUGAUUAGCUAGUUGGUGGGGUAAAGGCCUACCAAGGCGACGAUCAGUAGCGGGUCUGAGAGGAUGAUCCGCCACACUGGGACUGAGACACGGCCCAGACUCCUACGGGAGGCAGCAGUGGGGAAUUUUGGACAAUGGGCGCAAGCCUGAUCCAGCCAUGCCGCGUGUCUGAAGAAGGCCUUCGGGUUGUAAAGGACUUUUGUCAGGGAAGAAAAGGCUGUUGCUAAUAUCGACAGCUGAUGACGGUACCUGAAGAAUAAGCACCGGCUAACUACGU